CUCAAUUAGGACAUUAUUUUCACCAAUGUGUGUUGUAUUCCCUAUUGACUCCUUUGUCUUUUAUGGUAGUUUCUCAAUUAGGACAUUAUUUUAUUUUCACACAUAGUUUCUCAAUUAGGACAUUAUUUUCACCAAUGUGUGAUGUACUCUGCUGCCAUGAAGUUCUUAGUUUAGAUGCUUAUGUUCUUAUGGUGAUCCAAUUGAUAAGUUCUCUUAUGGUGAUAAGGUCUCUUACUCUCUUAUGGCUUUGGAUACCUGAGAAGUACUUGACCAAUUCUAGAUCUUUUGGUAGUGAUGUAAAAUAUUUCGAUAGUGGCAUAAAAUACUUCUCAACUUUUGUUCUUUUAGCUACUUAUCUUCUCUGCUUUCAUUUUUUUUUGUCAUCCCACUAAUUUUGGUUGAAUGGAUGUGUAGACCAUGUGGUGACACUGUUAUGGACGUUCAGAUUUGGAAAUUUAAAAUCUUGGUUAACCAACAUGUGAUCCUUUGCCUCCUUUUGGUCUUUUUGGUGCUUGCAUUGCAAGUUGGAUGUUUUUUGGCUCUGACAAAAGGGGGGGUUUCAGUCUUGUCAAUGUAAUCUCCAGUGAUUACUCAGGUGGUUUGGGGUUUGUCAGGUUUUCUCUGAACCGCUCCCUUCUUUCUGUUCUUGCAGCCAUUGCUUACAGAGCAGUGAAUUCUUCUUUUCACGGAGCGGCUAUGUUUUGUUGGUUUGCUUGAGAUUUCUUUAGUCAAGUCUCUUAUAAUUAUGGAUAUUUUGGAUUCAAUUUUCUUCCAUAAUGGGCCUUUGUCUUUGUCAAAACAAGUGUUGUAUGAAGUUUCUCAACUAGGGCAUUAUUUUUCACCGGUGUGUGUUGUAUUCUGCUGUCGUGAAGUUCAGUCCAGACACUUAUGUUCUUUGAUCAUCCAAUUGAUGAGGUCUUCUAUGGCUAUAGAUGCUUGAUAAGUACUCGGCCAAUUCUAGAUCUCAUUUGAUAGUGGCGUAAAAUACUUCUUUACUUUAAUUCUCUAGCUACUUAGUUAUCUUCUCUGUUUCCAUAGGUUUUUCGUUAUCACACUGAUUUGUUUUGGUUGAAUGGAUGUGUAGUAGAUCAUAUGAUGACACUGUUAUGGACGUUCAAAAUUUAGAAAUUUCAAAGCUUGGUUUAUCAACAUGUGAUCCUCUGCCACCUUUUGGUCUUUUUGGUGCUUGCACAACAAUCUGGAUAUUGUCCGGGCUUCGACAGAAGGGGGUUUUCAGUCUCUUCUAUGGCAUUUCUAGUGAUUACUUAGGUGAUUUGGGGUUCCUCAGAUUUGCACUUAACUGUUCCCUUCUUUCUGUUCAUGCAGCCAUUGGUUGCAGGGCAGUGAAUUAUUCUUUCCAUGGAGUGGCCGUGUUUGCCAGUUUGUGUUGAGGUUUCUUUAGUUUAAGUUUUUAUGAGUAUCAAGAUUUUCGAUUCAUUUUUCUUCAGUAGUUUCUCGACUAAGAUAAUAUCUUUCACUAGUGUGUGUUGUUAUUCUGCCGCCGUGAAGUUUUUAAUGCAGACACUAUGUUCUUCGAUGAUCCAACUGAUAAGGUCUCUUAUGGCUAUGCACACUUGAUAAGUACUCAUCCAAUUUUGGAUCUUUUCUUUAGACAACGCCAUAAAUGCUCCUCUACAUCUGGUCUUCUAGGUACAGAUAUUUUGGUUAUCACAACUUGUUUUUUUGUUUGGAUGCAUGGAUGUGCAGACUAUAUUGUGACAGUAAUAGAGGUUAAGAUUUGGAGAUUUUAAAGGUUGAUAUCCAGUAAUGGCUAUGGACACUUGAUAAGUACUCAUCCAAUUUUGGAUUUUUUCUUUAGACAGCACCAUAAGUGGUCAUCUACAUCUGGUCUUCUAGGUACAGAUAUUUUGGUUAUCACAACUUAUUUUUUUGUUUGGAUUCAUGGAUGUGCAGACUAUAUUGUGACAGUAAUAGAGGUUAAGAUUUGGAGAUUUUAAAGGUUGAUAUCCAGUAUGGUAUCUCUGUAUACUCUUGGUCUUUUUGGUUCUUGCACUGCAAUUUAGAUAUAUUGGUCAGGGCUUCAACAAAAAAAGGGUUUUAAAUCUUGUCUAUAUGGCAUCUCUAGUGAUUUCUUGGAUGAUAUGGGUUUGUAUCUUCUUUUUGUACUUGCAACCAUUGCAUCUUAUAGAGCUAUGAAAUAUUCUUUUCAUGGAGCGGCUUUCUUUGUCCAUUUAUGAGGUUUCCUUGGUUCAGGCUUUUAUGAUUUCUGAUAUUUUCAAUUAAAAUAGUUAUUUUAACGUUGGUGUGUGUUGUAUUCUACUGCCAUUUUUAGUGUUCAGUCCAGAUGCAAUGGCCCAAUUUGAUGAGAUUCUUGAUGGUUGAUGGUUAUGGUCCCUUGGACACCUGACAAGAACUCAAUUUUGGAUCUUUAAUGGUCUUCUCUUUUGGUGUCCUCACUGCUCAUUUUCUCUGCUUCAUUCUUCGUGUAUUACGCUAGCUUGAUUUUGUUUUGAGAGGUUAUGACUUGGAAGAUUUUGAAGGUUGGUGUCCAGUGUGCAUUCCUGUGCACCCUGUUUCUUGGCCAUGUUGGUGCUUGCACUACAAUCUAGAGAUUAUCAAGCUUCGAAGGUGGUUCUCCAUUUUGUUUGGUAUUUGUGGUGAAUUCUGAGGUGGUACGGUCUUCACUAGAUCUGCACUUGAACUGUUCCAUUUUUCUGUGCUUGUAGCUGAUGGGUCUUACAGAGGGAUAGGUUCUUCUUUUCAUGGACCGGCAUGGUCUGUCAAUUUUGUGUUGAGAUUUUUUGUUCGAUGCUUCUAAUGAUUAUUGAGAUCUUCAAUUCAGUUUUCUUCCCUAAUCAGAAAGGUGCCCUUCUCUCCACUGCUUCACUAGGGUGUAUUUUGCUGCCAUAUUUGUUUUUCAAUAGUCCAGAUGCUUAUGUUCUUUGGUGAUCCAACUGAUGAGAUCUCCAUGGUUAUGGGGACAACAUAUGAUAAGUGUAUUUAAACUCAAUCGUGCUCUUUUGAUGGCCCUGUAAUGCACUCUUGUGCUUUUCAUGUUCUCGCUACUUACCUUCUCUGAGUUCGUAUAGCCUACCAGUUGAUUUAGUUUGGUUGGAUGAAUGUCUGUAGGCUACAUGGUGGUAGUAUAGCCUACCAGUUCGUAUAACUUUUCAUGUUCUGUUACUUAUUUGGAUAUUUUGUAGUUUGGUUUCGGUGUGCAUCCUGUUGAUCAUGUCUCUUGCCAUUUUGAUGCUUGCAGUGCUAUCUGGAUAUUGGAUAUCACCAGGCAUCAAGAAAAGGGUGCUUUGCAAUCUUAUCUUGUUUGGCAUAUCUAGUGAUCUCUCCUGCGUGUGUGUACCCUGUUCCUUUGCCAUAUUGGUACUUGUGCUUGCACUGCAAUUUGGAUAUCAUCAGGCUCUGUCAAGGGAGUUAUGCAAUCUUGUCUGGCAUCUCUAGUGAUCUCUUCUAUGUGGCAUGGGUUUCGCAGCCUGCGCUUUAACUGUUCCCUUCUUUUGUGCUUGUGUUGUUGUAUCUUUCAAGAUCAUUGAAGUCUUCCUUUCAUGGAGCAGCCUUGUUUGUCUUAGUGUUGAAGUUUCGUGAGUUCAGUCCUUGUAUUAGUAUCUAACUUUUUGAUUCAGUUUUCUUCCCUGGUCAGAGAGAUCCCCUUAUCUGGUUGUCAGAAGGGCUGUUAAAUGGAAGUUUCAAUUACGUUAACUCUCUCCACAGGUGCAUUUUCAGCUUUCAGUCCAGAUGCUUUAUAUUUUGAGAUGAUCCAACUGAUGAGGUCUCUUAUGUUGGAGAUCUCUCCCCUACUAUUUUUUUGAAACAUGUAUAUUAUUUUCAGAUAUUCAAUCCUUUGAGGAGUUGCUUCAGACUAUUAGCUAUUAUGUAGAACUAUAAUAUAAAAAGAGAGUUCCUGCACACUUUUUUCCUCCGUAAAACAUUGUCAUUUGAACAGUGUUUAGCACCAAAGACCGAGCUUAUCCAUUGAAUCUCGAACAAAUGAAGUAAAAAACUUGGCUCAUCAUUUGUGUAACAUGCCAUUUACACUCUUUAUGUUAUUUAUAUCAACACAGAGGUAACUAUUUUUUUUUGUGUAAAAUAUUUUCUGAUGAGAUAUCCUUGUAAAUCCAUUACAUGUCAGAUCAUCAUGCAAGUUGGGAAGUUUAUCAAUGGAUCUUGUUCUUCUAAGUACUCUUCUGAGUUAAGUUUUGUACUAAUUUUCUUAAUACUAUUGAAAUUGCUAUUGUUUAUAGAACAUUGUUGUUCUGUCAUAGGCCAUAGUGAUCCGGGAGUCCCGUGUGAAGGGCUCUCGCUCAACGGAUCAAAGGUACGCCAGUGAUAACAGGCUGAUGAAUCCAAAGAGCUCUUACCGACGAAGUCGUUUGGCACCUCGGAUUUCUAAACAUCUUAUUAUCAUAUAACACUAGAACAUAGAACAAUUAAAUGAAACGAAAAGAAAAGAAAGAGAUGACAGAGAAUCCAUUGAGAAGUUUACCUGUAUCCAAGGAAUUGUUCUUUGCUCCUUGGUUUUCUUGUAUUGGUGAUCUAUUAGUAACCUUGCACAAGUUAAAAGUGAUCUUCUAAAAAGCCCUAACUAGACCAAGUUUCGACAGUUUUGAAAAAUGAUGUUGUGUUUUCCUUCAUUCAUCAAAUAUAGCUCUCCAUUCACCAGUUGAACAUGCCUUUUCGGCAUUUGGAAGGUAUUUUGGUCAUUUUCUGUAAGAUGGAAUAAUCUGAUAAGUUUGAAAAGAAUCUUUCUGUAGCUAUUAUGGGAAGUUUAGAUGUGUAUUGCCUAAAUUAUCCUCUCAUCCUUCGUCAUUGUACUUAAUUCUAUCAGUUCCGCAUGUGAGUUAGUGGGGACCAGAAAACCUUUUAACUGUUAAGUAUUAUCUCAC